rnacentral:rRNA from 1 species
CGCCAGACUCCUACGGGAGGCAGCAGUGGGGAAUAUUGCACAAUGGGGGGAACCCUGAUGCAGCGACGCCGCGUGGGUGAAGGAGCACCUCGGUGCGUAAAGCCCUAUCAGCAGGGAAGAACAAUGACGGUACCUGACUAAGAAGCACCGGCUAAAUACGUGCCAGCAGCCGCGGUAAUACGUAUGGUGCAAGCGUUAUCCGGAUUUACUGGGUGUAAAGGGAGCGCAGGCGGCGCGUUAAGCCUGGUGUGAAAGCCCGCGGCCCAACCGCGGGACUGCAUUGGGAACUGGCGCGCUGGAGUGCCGGAGGGGUAGGCGGAAUUCCUGGUGUAGCGGUGAAAUGCGUAGAUAUCAGGAGGAACACCGGUGGCGAAGGCGGCCUGCUGGACGGCAACUGACGUUGAGGCCCGAAAGCGUGGGGAGCAAACAGGAUUAGAUACCCUGGUAAGG